rnacentral:lncRNA from 1 species
UGGUUUACUACACAUGGACUUAUGAUAGUGUUAGCAGAGAAUGGUAUAUGAACACAGAUUCUUGUUGUUUGUUUAACUUUUUUUUUUAAUUUGUAGUUGGUGCUGGCGUUAUAUCCACAGACAACCUGUUUCUACAGAGCACUUAUACAUGAACCACCAAAGAAGGUAAGACAGUUUGUUGAGAUCAAAAUUAAUUUGAAGAUAACAUAAACGAAUAAAACUUUUUGCUUGAAAAAAGCAUUGAGAAUGGAAAUGGGGAAUGUGUCAAAGAGACAACGUCGGACCAGAACAAAGAGCAGUUUUAUACAGCCCUCAUCCACCAAUGGGUCUUCAGCUGUUCAAGUUUUAAACUUAAUGCAAAACUGUAAAAGCUGUCUCAAAAGCAUUAUUUUGAGAUGAAUAUGAGCAAAGGAUGUAUCAAUUUGCAUCAAAUAUCUUUAUACGUUAAGCCUAUGCUGGGAUCUUUUUUUGUAAAAAAAACCUGUAAAAUUACAGGUUUUUAGUCAAACAGUUCAAUUUCAACUUGUUUUAGCCUCGUGACAUUACAAGUGACCCUCCUGUAUGAAGUGUCAAGAUUGUAUUAACCAGUAAAUUUAUCAAUGAAAUUCAAAUACUUUUGAAAGUCUUGAAUAAGAUAAAUAUGAUUUGUUAUCUAUAUUUUCAGCAAGGAGAUGAAUACUCGGUACUAUUUGAAGAUACCUCCUACCCUGAUGGGUAUUCCCCUCCACUGAUGGUUGCUCAAAGAUAUGUCAUUCUGUGUAAAGAGGAUAAAAAGAAAUGAAUAGUGCUAUAGUCAUCAAAAUAGUAUAUUUUAGAGAUUAUGUAUCCAGCUGCCAUUUUUCGCAGUAUAUUAUUGCAAACUUUGAAACAGCAUUUAUGUUUUUUUUUCGCAAAUUCAAGAUGCCAAUCAAAUUGAAUGCUUACAUCUUUUUAGUGUAUAUUUUUAAAAUGUAA